CAAACCCAGAACCCUCUUAUUCUCACUUGAAUUGAUUGAAACCAGAAACCCUUAAUCAUUAUUAUUCAUUCACCCUCAAUAGAUUGAAACCCAAAAACCUUUACUCUUCUCUUCCGUCGGCAGUCAAUCUCACUCACUCAUUGAAACCCUAAAACCCAAAAGCUUGACUCGUUGGAACCAGAAUCCAGAACUCGUUAAAACCCCAAAACCAUCUUCCCCAUCGUUCUAGAGUUCUUUGAACCCAGAAACUCUUCGUCGUGUCUGCAUCGUUCACCAUUAUUCAUCGCAAUUGAACCUCGUCUCGUCAGAACUCGUUCUUUAGGUAUUUGGAUUUCUCUUAUUCUUCUUUGAUUUCUAAUUUUAAAUUUGCAGUCCAAGAUUUUGGAUUUCUUUUGCAUUAAAAAAUGUUUGUGUUCUUUGUGUUCUAUAAUUUGUUCACUAAACUACAAUUGUGGAAAGCUGCUUACCUUUCACAUCGUGUUGGAUAGGUAUCAUGAUUUUGUUCUAUUCAUGGUUUUGAAGCAAUGAUUCUAUAAGUAACAUUAUAAGCAAUGAAAAUAACAAAUUAUUUGUUAUUAAUAAGCAAAAAAGUAGUUCUUUUGAGAUAUUGAUCGUUAAAUUUAGAAUAUUGUUAAUAGAAACCUUAGAGUAUAUAUGUAUAUAAUUAUGCAGAUCUUAUAUUUGAUAGCACAAAUUUAUAAUUAUGCCGGUAACAUCAUCGACAAUGGUCACUCUCAUCUCAUUAUUUUCAAGUUCAAAAUGUCACACUACAUGUGAGUAGUCUUCUCUCCUAGUUUACUACUUUUUCUUUCUGCAUUUUGUCUUCAAGUACUCAUUUCAACUUCAAAGUUUUACCCUUUUAUCUGUAUGUUAUGCUUUGAUUAUAAGGCUGAUAAGGAAACAUGAAAUUUAUUCUCAAAUGACUCUUCAUCUAUGCCUAUAUAGCAUUAGUUGGUUGCAAACCCUCUUUCAUGUCCGUACAAUAUAACCNNNNNNNNNNNNNNNNNNNNNNNNNNNNNNNNNNNNNNNNNNNNNNNNNGGUUUACUUAUGCUCAGUUUAAUUUUGCUCAGUUAUUCACUUAUUACCUCUUAUCUUCAAUCUUUUAUGAUUGAUAUUACUUAGCCUCAUUAUAUAGUCGAUAUUGGCAUACAUUAAGCUAUCAGUUAUCUCAUUAGAAAUUCUGCUAUUGUUUUGGCAGGGGAACCGAGGUAUUGAGAAACAACUUUUUCAACUUCCUAAUUUCAUUGCUGCCACUGGUAUUGAAAAAAUCAGACAGGUAAUCUUACAUGUUUGAUAUAAGUGGUUAUUUUUGUUACUUACAAAUUUUUUGUGUUAUUUGUGUUCUUGAAAUUUCACAUUUUUUCACUAUCAGAUGCUAAUUUAUGGGAACUACACAUUAUAAACUUGUGCUUUGUUAUAUAUAGGUUUCUAUGUGUGAAUAAUUUUGUGAUAGAUUCAUGCAUGGAUGAGUUGUUGGUUUUGAUAAGUUGUUUUUACUUAUAGCAAUUUAGAAUGUUAGAGUCCUAGAUAUGUAAUAUUGAUGAAAAGUUGUGUCCCUUUAGUUAAUUUUCUGUUUCACAAAUGAACUUUAUAUGAUACAAACAUUCAUCUAUGUACUUUAAUCAAUUCAUCAUAAUAUUGUAGUCACAGUUUUUAUAUAUGAUGUGUCAUGCAGGAGGCUUAUAUUAUGGUUACCGUCUUCGUCGAUAUUUUCUGGCUCGAGGUUGCGGCUGUAAAGUCCUCUCUUGACAUUCCUCAAUU
rnacentral:lncRNA from 1 species